rnacentral:rRNA from 1 species
AGAGUUUGAUCAUGGCUCAGGAUGAACGCUAGCUACAGGCUUAACACAUGCAAGUCGAGGGGAAACGAUAUUGGAAGCUUGCUUCCGAUAGGCGUCGACCGGCGCACGGGUGAGUAACGCGUAUCCAACCUGCCCACCACUUGGGGAUAACCUUGCGAAAGUAAGACUAAUACCCAAUGAUAUCUCUAGAAGACAUCUGAAAGAGAUUAAAGAUUUAUCGGUGAUGGAUGGGGAUGCGUCUGAUUAGCUUGUUGGCGGGGUAACGGCCACCAAGGCGACGAUCAGUAGGGGUUCUGAGAGGAGGUCCCCCANAUUGGAACUGAGACACGGUACCAAACUCCCUACGGGAGGCA